ACCUACGGGACGCAGCAGUCGGGAAUAUUGCGCAAUGGAGGAAACUCUGACGCAGUGACGCCGCGUGCAGGAAGAAGGUUUUCGGAUUGUAAACUGCUUUAGACAGGGAAGAAAGAAAUGACGGUACCUGUAGAAUAAGCUCCGGCUAACCACGUGCCAGCAGCCGCGGUAAUACGUAGGUGGCGAGCGUUAUCCGGAAUGAUUGGGCGUAAAGGGUGCGUAGGCGGUCGAUUAAGUCUGGAGUGAAAGGUACCGGCUCAACCGGUAUAGGCUCCGGAAACUGAUGGACUGGAGUACAGGAGAGG
rnacentral:rRNA from 1 species